GAAUAUUGGACAAUGGGGGGAACCCUGAUCCCGCCAUGCCGCGUGUGUGAAGAAGGCCUUUUGGGUGUAAAGCACUUUAAGCGAGGAGGAGGCUACUCCAGUACAUACUCUAGGAUAGUGGUCGAUACUCGCAGAAAAAGCACCGGCUAACUCUGUCCCAGCAGCCGCGGUAAUACAGAGGGUGCAAGCGUUAAUCGGAUUUACUGGGCGUAAAGCGCGCGGAAGGGGCCAAUUAAGUCAAGUGUUGAAUCCCCGAGCUUAACUUGGGAAUUGCAUUCGAUACUGGUUGGCCAGAGUAUGGGAGAGGAUGGUAGAAUUCCAGGUGUAGCGGUGAAAUGCGGAGAGAUCUAGAGGAAUACCGAUGGCGAAGGCAGCCAUCUGGCCUAAUACUGACACUGAGGUGCGAAAGCAUGGGGAGCAAACA
rnacentral:rRNA from 1 species